UACAAUAAUAAUAAUAUAAUAAUAGAAAUAUUUAUAGAGAGCUAAUUAACUGUACAAUACUUAGUAUGUCGUCAGAAAAGAAAGUGAAAGUAGAGACACGUAGCACCAGCCAGAAGCUUAAUUUGUCUAUCGUUCUUAAUAUAUUAAUCAGAGCUAAUUGCUGGAAGUACAACCGUACAUAAUUCAGAUUUUUAAACAAUGCAUUAAUGAUGCACAUUAUCGUUUAAUUAUCUCUACGUCUACAGUCUAUGUAUUCUCGAAUGAGAGUACAGAGUUUUUUUUUUACUCGAGUAUCAAAGUGGCGUGUCUUCUCGUUUCUGCUAUCCGCGAUCACAAGCAGCGAUUAUCGUUGUCGUCGCGACAAGGGAACAGGUAUCGAUUCUUUGGUAUCGACAUAACGCGGCGCAUGCUGCCAUGCGACCGAAAUUUCGGUAGUAUAAAAAUAUGAAGCGAGCAAGAGUAUAUCGGGGAAAAAAGUAGCAUUUUGUGCCAUGUCUAAUUGUUCCAUAUAAAUUAUCUAUAAUCUGUCUCAAGAAAAAUGGAAUUGUUCUAACAAUGCGAAAUAUCUAGUAAUCACGCUGUUAGAAGACAAUGUUAUUACCCACAGAAUUGGAUGUAGAAUUUUGCAAUGCAACAAUUGAAGAGAUAUCAGAAUAUUCGGAAAUAUACAUACGAUAUACUGGAAGAAAAGAUAUCCUUGAAAUAUACUGGAAUGUAUGAGGAAAAAAUCUCGGCCGUACCACUUUCACGAUGUCCGUACGUCUCUUUGGCAAACAUACUUGUGUGAGAUUCGUUGUUCCCAAUGUGCGCGGCUCUCCUCGAAUCUAAUCGUCGAUUUUAUCAGCGCCACGAAUAACCGCACACGCGGUAGUGCCGUAACGUCGGCUUUCCGUACGUGUAAUCUAAAUCUACAUAGUAAUCUCAUUAUUUAACGAACGAUACGAGAGAGUAGUCAAGAUUCUCGUGGAUCGUCUUUGUAUCUCCAGUCCCUCUUCUUGUAUAAUACAAGAACGAUGUAAAUCUACCGCGCGACAGCAUCGGUAGUAUUGUAUAUUUACAUUUUGAUUGGUCCCCUUAUAAAACUGUUUGUGAAUUUGCAAUUUACUUUAUGUGAAAAUUAUACAUUAUAAUUAUA